rnacentral:rRNA from 1 species
GACGAACGCUGGCGGCGUGCUUAACACAUGCAAGUCGAACGGAAAGGCCCUGCUUUUGUGGGGCGCUCGAGUGGCGAACGGGUGAGUAACACGUGAGUAACCUGCCCUUGACUUUGGGAUAACUUCAGGAAACUGGGGCGAAUACCGGAUAGGAGCUCCUGCUGCAUGGUGGGGGUUGGAAAGUUUCGGCGGUUGGGGAUGGACUCGCGGCUUAUCAGCUUGUUGGUGGGGUAGUGGCUUACCAAGGCUUUGACGGGUAGCCGGCCUGAGAGGGUGACCGGCCACAUUGGGACUGAGAUACGGCCCAGACUCCUACGGGAGGCAGCAGUGGGGAAUAUUGCACAAUGGGCGGAAGCCUGAUGCAGCAACGCCGCGUGCGGGAUGACGGCCUUCGGGUUGUAAACCGCUUUCGCCUGUGACGAAGCGUGAGUGACGGUAAUGGGUAAAGAAGCACCGGCUAACUACGUG